UCAAUGCUGUAAGAUAUUCCGACCAUACUACAUGUAUUUCAGCUUUGCAAUGAGAAUAGAGACCAAGUCAAAUUUUACAGGAAGUACAGGAUGUCAACCAUGCAAACAUCCAAGGACGUAAUUCCAUGCAGAAAGGUUAUUUUAAAAAAGGACAGAUAAUGCUGCUUAAGUGGGCAGAAUCUUUAAGUAGAAGAGAAAGUUAGAGACAAGGACAUAAUCUAUUAACACCAUACCCCCUGGAUUCAGAUGACUCUGAUUUGCCAGCCUUUCAUACAGCAUUAAAGGCCUGGCUGUGCACUGAGCUUCAAGAAUAGGAGUAUGAAUUCUGAAUAGGAUGGAAAAAUAAUUGGGGAAGGAACAAAUUUAUUUUGGAUGUUUUCUAAUUGUUUUUAAAAUGUUCUUAUUGCUUUAACUGUAUAUUUUUUUAAUUUUAAGUUUCCCAGAGUCAUUGAUUGAGUUCAGCCGCUAUAGAAAUGGAAUAAUUUAAAAAGGUCAUAAUUAGAGCAUAGAAGGCUGAAUCAAAACAUUGAAAGAAGACUGUGUUGAAUAUAGGGUAUGUGUAUUAGCAAAACCCUUUCCAUUUAAGUGAGAAGUUAAAAAAAAGGAUAUCAAAUGCUCAAAUGGGUAAUGUGAAGAAUACCAUGAAAACCUAAGGAUCCCCAGAGAUGGGAUGGAGAUUUUGUCCUCAAUAAAUAUUUUCAACAAACAAUAAAGACAAGCUAAGAACAAGUUCACUAUGAAGGACACACAUUUCAAAAUAGCAGAAUACAUUUUCAGGGAUGUGCAGAAACUAGGCUACAAGGCAGAAGUAAUUUCCCUAGUGGCUACAACUUUGACAAAAUAAGUCAGCUGCAGGUGCCCAGAAGAACAUUGCAUAACAGAAAGUACUGAGAUCUAAUUUUAUUUUUGCUACUUGUUUUUAGCAAUGGAUGGAUGGAUGAACUUAAGAAUAAGGACAUGUGAGGAAAGCCUCUGGGAAAUAAGAGAUGUCUUCGGAAGAGUAAACAACAGAAGAAACACAAUAUAGAAACAUAAUAAAUCAUCUCACCUUGGGCAAUGACAUCUUCAAUAUUUUUCCCAUUUAACUCACUAAUUACCUGUAGAAAAUAAAAUUACAGAGUUAAUUUAACAGCUAAGCAGCUAAUGUGAUGCAGUAGUGAAGGUGCUGGCCUAGAAAUCAGAAGAUCUAGGACUGCCUUAGAAAUAAAAACUGACCGGAUGA